GCUUGCUGCCUGUCUGCGAAGCUAGGGAACCCAUGGCGUUGCGGAUGGCUUCAUUGUUGGGGUCCACGCCCGGCAGGUUCUCCAGCACGCUCUGCAGGAACUCUGGGUCUUGCAUCACGUCGUAGUCGUCUUCCUCCUCGGUUGAGUGUGGUUGACGUGGAGCUGACCUCCUCCGGCGAGGGACAUCUGCAUGGCGUAUGCGAUCUGCUCCUCCUCAGUCAUGCUGCUGAAGUCGGGUAUCACGGCGGCGCCCGGCUCAGGCUGCGACACGGACAUCUUCAGCAAAGCCUCCUCUGAUUCUGAAGGGGGAAAAAAAAUGUAUUUGAUGUGUUCGGUUACUCUAGGCGGUAUGGGCCGUACCAUCCACCGCGGGCAUGGGCACACUGCCCUCGGCCACUGACGCGGCCGUGGCUCUGCGGGCCUCGUCCUCCUGCCUCUGACGCUGCUCCUCCAUGGACACGCGCAAGGCCUACAAACAUGAUCGGGAUGUCAUCACUGGAAUGCAAGGGAGGAACUCAAAGGCGAGCUCCGGGUCGGCGCUGGGGUCGACGCCGAACUCAAAGUCGCUGGCACCGAGGCCCAUCAUGGAGCCGCCCUCGCCGGCCAGGAUGGGCGAGGAGAGCAGGGCGUCGGCCAGGCUGGGUCCCGGGGGCACUGUGAC